UACGGAGGGGGCUAGCGUUGUUCGGAAUUACUGGGCGUAAAGCGCACGUAGGCGGCUUUGUAAGUUAGAGGUGAAAGCCCGGGGCUCAACUCCGGAAACUUGCCUUUAAGACUGCAUCGCUAGAAUUGUGGAGAGGUAAGUGGAAUUCCGAGUGUAGAGGUGAAAUUCGUAGAUAUUCGGAAGAACACCAGUGGCGAAGGCGACUUACUGGACACACGAUUGACGCUGAGGUGCGAAAGCGUGGGGGAGCAAACAGGGGAUUAAGAAA
rnacentral:rRNA from 1 species